AUUGAACGCUGGCGGCAGGCCUAACACAUGCAAGUCGAACGGUAACAGGAAACAGCUUGCUGUUUCGCUGACGAGUGGCGGACGGGUGAGUAAUGUCUGGGAAACUGCCUGAUGGAGGGGGAUAACUACUGGAAACGGUAGCUAAUACCGCAUAACGUCGCAAGACCAAAGAGGGGGACCUUCGGGCCUCUUGCCAUCGGAUUGGCCCAGAUGGGAUUAGCUAGUAGGUGGGGUAACGGCUCACCUAGGCGACGAUCCCUAGCUGGUCUGAGAGGAUGACCAGCCACACUGGAACUGAGACACGGUCCAGACUCCUACGGGAGGCAGCAGUGGGGAAUAUUGCACAAUGGGCGCAAGCCUGAUGCAGCCAUGCCGCGUGUAUGAAGAAGGCCUUCGGGUUGUAAAGUACUUUCAGCGGGGAGGAAGGGAGUAAAGUUAAUACCUUUACUCAUUGACGUUACCCGCAGAAGAAGCACCGGCUAACUCCGUG
rnacentral:rRNA from 1 species